rnacentral:rRNA from 1 species
UACGAAGGGGGCGAGCGUUGUUCGGAAUUACUGGGCGUAAAGGGCGCGCAGGCGGCGAGUUUUGUCAGGCGUGAAAGCCCCGGGCUCAACCUGGGAACUGCGCUUGAAACGGGCUUGCUGGAGACCGGGAGAGGAGAGUGGAAUUCCCAGUGUAGAGGUGAAAUUCGUAGAUAUUGGGAAGAACACCGGUGGCGAAGGCGGCUCUCUGGACCGAGACUGACGCUGAGGCGCGAAAGCGUGGGGAGCAAACAGG